rnacentral:lncRNA from 1 species
GAGAUUGUAGAGAGAGCCAUUUUUGCUCUGAAUUUGAAGUUGAAGACAGACAGAACAAGAAAUAAAAACAAGAGCACAGAAUCGGAUAUAUGUUUCUGCUGUAUUUCAACCACAUCUUUUGAAGAAGAUAAUAGGUUGGCACGUGCACACAGUGUUUCACUAAGCUACUUGGCGAUGAGUAACGUUCGGUGUACGGAAACCUCCUUACAGAAUUUUUACAGAUAUCCUAUAGAGGGUAGAUCCCGUAUGAAUAAAUAAUAUUAAAAAAUUCAGCCACCCACGCCGCCCUUGUGAGGUAUCUGUAGGAAUUCUGUGAACCCCUACAUUGUACACCAAUCAUCUUCCAUUUGGUUGUACC